GGCCCAUUUUGCUGUGUGGAGGCCCAUCAGAGGCUGUCACUGAGUGGAGCCUGCUGUCAGUGACUGGCCCACCAUCCAGAACGGCUGACUGCUGCCGCCACUGCCCAGCCCUCGGCAGGUGGCUCCCUUGCAGAACGUGUUGUUCUCCAGCCAACAGAUUUGGUGGUGGGCACCCAAGGUCACAUUCGCCUGUUUGUCUCUGGAAAACCCAAGGACACUGAAGAGAUAAAGCCCAUCUGCUAAACAUCCCGAGCUGGAAUUGGAAAGAAGGUGAUGACGCAAUCUGCCUCGCAGAGUUGAAGUUGGGCUUCAUAGCCCAGAGCUGCCUGGCUCAAGGCCUCUCCACCAUGCUUGCCAACCUCUUCUCCAUGAGGUCAUUCAUAAAGAUUGAGGAAGACACGUGGCAGAAAUACUACUUGGAAGGAGUCUCAAAUGAAAUGUACACAGAAUAUCUCUCCAGUGCCUUCGUGGGUCUGUCCUUCCCUACUGUUUGUGAGCUGUGUUUUGUGAAGCUCAAGCUCCUAAUGAUAGCCAUUGAGUACAAGUCUGCCAACCGAGAGAGCCGUAUAUUAAUUAAUCCUGGAAACCAUCUUAAGAUCCAAGAAGGUACUUUAGGAUUUUUCAUCGCAAGUGAUGCCAAAGAAGUUAAAAGACCUCCUCAACUCUGUCUCACUUUAGCUGACCAGAAAAGGUGCUUUCAGAGUGACAAGGUUGAUAUUUUUAUUUGACUGAGAAACGACAUACUUCUGCCCCCUUAAAUAUAUAUUUGACCAGACUGUGGGAAUUUUGGUGUUGUAUUUAACUUCCCCACCAAGGGCCCAGGGCUCAUUGCCCACGUGUCUCCACAAGUAGCAUCAAAGGCUGUUCUCAAAAAUGAAAGACGAAUGAGCAGACACAGUGUGUCAUAUCAGCAACUUUUUUCCCAGUUUCUUUGCAAAUGGAAGUUUAUGAAAAGGAGCGCUAACUCAAAUCACAGAAUCCUGUGUUUGAAAUAAAUGGUCUUGCAACAAA
rnacentral:sRNA from 1 species